AAAUUGAAGAGUUUGAUCAUGGCUCAGAUUGAACGCUGGCGGCAGGCCUAACACAUGCAAGUCGAACGGUAACAGGAAGCAGCUUGCUGCUUCGCUGACGAGUGGCGGACGGGUGAGUAAUGUCUGGGAAACUGCCUGAUGGAGAGGGAUAACUACUGGAAACGGUGGCUAAUACCGCAUAACGUCGCAAGACCAAAGAGGGGGACCUUCGGGCCUCUUGCCAUCAGAUGUGCCCAGAUGGGAU
rnacentral:rRNA from 1 species